rnacentral:rRNA from 1 species
GAUGAACGCUGGCGGCGUGCUUAACACAUGCAAGUCGAACGGAAAGGCCCUGCUUUUGUGGCUUGCUCGAGUGGCGAACGGGUGAGUAACACGUGAGUAACCUGCCCUUGACUUUGGGAUAACUUCAGGAAACUGGGGCUAAUACCGGAUAGGAGCUCCUGCUGCAUGGUGGUGGUUGGAAAGUUUCGGCGGUUGGGGCUGGACUGGCGGCUUAUCGGCUUGUUGGUGUGGUAGUGGCUUACCAAGGCUUUGACGGGUACCCGGCCUGAGCGGGUGACCGGCGACAUUGGGACUUAGAUACGGCCGAGGCUGCGACGGGAGGCAGCAGUGGGGAAUAUUGCACAAUGGGCGGAAGGCGGAUGCAGAAACGCCGCGUGCGGGAUAACGGCCUUCGGGGUGUAAAACGCUUGCGCCUGUGACUAAGCGUGAGUGAAGGUAAUGGGUAAAGAAGGACCGGCUAACUAAGUG